CAAAUAUCUGCCAGGCCUAUCUUUGUCAUCAUAGAACACUUUCCAUAACCUGGUCGAAGAUUGCAAAGGUGUUAAUCACACUUCUUUUUAUAAAAAUAAAUUAAAAAAAAAGGAGGAAGAAGAAAGUGGCUGGAGAAACUUCAACCAAAGGUCAUACAACUAAAAAGUAGUCUGGACCAUCUGAGUUGUUCCUAUAUUAACUGGAACAGGUAAUCAUUCUCUAGAGGGUUGAAAAGGCCAAAAUAAGCUCAGCAGUCAAAUAAAGGAAAUAAACAACUUCAGCAAAGUGAGUAGAUGAUUUAAUGAAUCUUGUAAGAUGUUAAAAUCUUCUUACCCAGGAUAAGCUCUAAAGACAGCUCCAGAUGGCAAAGGCCUCAUGGAGUAGACUGUUGUAAACGUGCUGUACAAAAGAUAACAAAAUAGAGAUCUCCAAUUUUGGCAGUUGAGUAUCAUGAUAUGAAAAAAAAAUUUGGGAAGCAACCAUUUCAGCACCAAAUGGAAUUAUUUGGACUUUUACCGGAUCGUCUGAGAGGGCAGCUGCAAUUUUCUGUACAUUUUCCAACAUUUGGUAAUCAGGAACAACCAUAACAACUAUCUCAUCUGCAAUAUCUACAGGUUUUCGAUCGCUUAAGCUGAGAAUGACAACCAUAUGUCAUUAAGUGGUAAUAGUACUCAGGCCAAAAGAAAAAACAUAUAGAAUCAGAUUGUCCAAACCCAUCUUGGUUUAGCUUUUUAGAGUACACAAUUAAUCUGGAACACUAAAUGCAUUCACUUAAAUGGUGGCUAGAACAGACUAUGAUUGAUAAAGAUUCUAUCCAAUGUGUAACCGAUAUAUUUUGCCUUGGUCUCAAGUUUUCCUUCAAUCAAAAUCAAUGGUAUCGGUGUAUCGGUGACAGUAUUUUCAAGGUUUUUUCGAAAAAGGAAUUGUAUGUUAUAUGGAACUUACCUGGAAAUUUUGAAGGAGGCAUCUUUCCAUCGAUAUUCUAGAAGCGCAGCAGCCCCAGCAUCUGGAAACACAGCUUUAACUUUCUAGCAAUUAAAUUUGGAGUGUACUUAGAUAAAUGAUUAAAUUAACUAAUGAAUAAACAUCCUAAAAACUUUGAAUCUUUUACAGUUUUCUUUGUUUACUUCUGUUGUGGAUCUCACAUCAUUUAUAAUUUAAAUUCUCACUAAAAAAGAUUAAUAGUAAUCUGAUACACAUGGUAUAUACAAUAUAUUCCAACUGUUCUUCAAAUUCAAUUCUUGAUUAGUAAAUUGUAAAUAGGGCCUUAAAGUGAUAAUUCCAUAUCCUACUUACCUCACAAUUUGUUUCCUCAAUGAGUGACUCCAAGAAAACUCUUGAGAGUUCCCAGAGUUCAGCCUGAGCACCUUCAUCGUCCAGAAACUGAAGCUGGGGGAUAAGGAGCUCAACCUGAAAAGAAUAUGCAAGAAUACAGAGAUGAGGGAGAUAACAAGAUGAGUUCGGGUUCCAACUUUUUUAUCAAAAAACCGAAGGAUAAAGAGGAAUCAUAAGGUGCACCCAAACAUCUAAUAUGAUUUCAAACUUGGUCGCUAAGAAUCAAGGGAGUCAUAAAAUCUCUCAAAACCAGCCUUCGAGGGAGUAGGUUUUUGUUAGACCUCCGAUCAUUUACACCUAUAAAAGGAAGAAAUCCAGGAAGAGUAUGGUGUGAAUUACAUAGAAGACCAAGGAUGGAGAGGUUCUUGGGGGGACCCACCCCUGAUGACGUAUAAGGAAUAUUUUGGAAAUUAGCAAAUCAGGUCAUAUUUUGGGUAAAGGCUGCUGAGGCUUUUGAGGAGAAGAUUCCAGCCUUCUCGAAGGAGCUGGAGAAUAACCAUGGCAUUUACUUAUGUUUUUUCUUUCUUAUUUUACUGUGCUGUCUUUUAGUGUAUUCUGUGGAUAUUUUGUGAACUCAUAUGAAAUUUAUCAUCAAUAGAAUCACAGCAAAAUACUGUCUCUGUUUCUCUA